CCGCCCUGAGGUGGCCUUGACGCCUCCCGGCCGCCGUAGGCCGAGGUCGGGGCGCGGGGCCCCUGGGGCGCUCACCUGGGGGCACGUAGGCCCGUGGGGCCGGCGGCCUGCGGAGCGGAGCGGGCCCGGGCCUGGUGGUUCGGUCGUGCGUUCAUUCAGUCAUGCCUUGAGCUGACUCAGGAAUUGAGACGGGUUGUCUAUGGAUCCUAGAAUAAGUUCUGGAGAUGGUGAAUAGAUGGCCAAGCAGAAUUUCCAUAAUCCUUGAUAGCAAGAAGCAGCUUGCCUUGUGGAAUCUUGGGCCUUUCUUCUCACCACUGUAGGGAUCAAGAAAACAAGAUCACUUCUAGUUUUGUUGCAAAGUGUGGUAUAAAAAUGAUGUCAGAAGAAUGGUUUGCUGGGUUAUUUAAAAGCCUGCAUACACCAUUUACAAGGAUUGGUGUCAUCUCCACUUUGUUGACUUCCUGUUUCCUAGCAUGGAGACAUCAUCAUCAUCAUCAAAAUGAUCUCAAUGAUCAUUAUCACCCCAUGAUGGCUGAUGGCUAUUGAGGACUUACUCAGUGCCCAGGGGCCUUAGAUGACCCAUUAGUCACCACCAAGACCCAAAUGGACUGGUAGCCAAUGAGAAUGUCAGCCUUUACAAGCCCACCUCUGUAGAACUACAAGCCCGCCUCUGUAGAACUGCAGGCAUUUUCAGGCCUCAUCUAGCCUCCUCAUGGGAACCAAUCCAGAUGUUUGGACAUGAACAUUCACCUUGUUAUUUUCCUGGAGGAGGUGUUUGGCUUGAGGAGACACUGCCACUUUCCCCAAAAUGGUUGUAUUAGUGGACUCUCCCAAGAGCAGUGCAGAUGGGGAAACUGAGGAUUAGAGGCACUCAGUGUAACGUACUGAAGACGGCAGAUCUGGUACCCAAGGGAAUCCUCUACAUCAGUGAUGUGAAAAACCCUGUUGCCUGAAGUCAAAGAGAUGUUCCUGGCAUUGGCUAAGACCCAUCCGGAUGCAACCAAGCCUUACAGAGCUGCCUCGGGGCAGGGCAGGUGGGAUACAUGCAUAGGGGACAGGCUCGUUUGUAGCUUUCCUAUCGCCAAUGGGAGAAGCUGAUGGAACUCGUAUAAAUAGUACUUUCUGGGUUCUAAGUACCCAUCAGUAUUUUUUUUUUUUUUGCCUCUAGUCUUACAAUUAGCUGAGUGGACAUGUUUCUCCUGACUGUACCUAUGCCAAUAUGAAUUCAAACAAAUGUAAGGAAGACUUCAUUGUUUUAUGAACAGGGAUAAAAACAAAUACACAAAACACAGACAGUAGAAGCAUUCAGAAAUCUUGUUUUUAUUUUAUAUAACUUGACCUCCCGUGUUGCCCAUCAUCAUCCAGAGAAAUAAAACGCAAGCGUGGUUUCCCGACGCCCUGUGUCAAUGUGGGUGCCUUAACAUGGCUCUUUAACUCAAACAUAAAAUUAAAUAUGUCAUAACCGUGUUUCCCUUGCAGAGCCCAUCAAAAUAUUGUAACAGAAAUGGUGAAUCAGGUGUUCUCAUGCAAAGGACAUGUGAAAACACAGACUGUAAGUUCCAGAAUCUUGGUGCGUCUGCUUAGAGAGCCCAAGUGAAAAGAGUGGCUGGUCUUGACUUUGUCUUCAUUAUAGGCCCCUCGGGGCUUCUAAAUGCUGUUUUUAAAGUACAUCCUCCAUCCCCCACGGCAGCAAGGAACAGUAUGCUGUCCUGUAUGCAGAUUUGGAGCGGACCAAUCCAUCAAGUUCCAUGAGUAUGUCUUAAGCGAAUUACACUGAUGAUAUAUUUGUUGGCCCUGGGAAAGAGGGGGAAAUAAUUUCAUUUAAAGUGUUUAUUACGCGGACUUACCUAAUUGUUUGUUGUUGUUUGUUUAUUUAGGUCAUGCUCCCAUAUAACCACCACCCAUACCCCCUUUCCAUACAAGGCCUGCCUACUGUUUUUCUUUUGGCGGGUGCUGGCCCACUGCUGAGCUGAUUUAAUCAAUUAAUUAUAGCCAAGCAGGUACGGGGUAACUAGCCUGAUGAUGCCAUAUGAAGUCAUAUUUUCUGUGAGCCCUGGGAUAUGAUUGAAGGGGCAACUCAAAGAAAGAAUAUUAUGCAUUGGCCGGGGGCUGGGGGGAAGGAAGGAAGAGUUUUUGUAAAAGUACAGCGCUCGUUACUUAACGCGAAGUGAUGCUCCCGUUAAAGAGCCUUCGUGCUAAAAGCACACGUUCAGUCACCUGCCAAAAUGUCAGAUUUACUGCUGUCGUUCACAGAUGCCAAUGCAGAGACACUCUUCACCUGCCCAUUGCUGAGUCUUCCAUCUCCCCAUCCCAAAAUCACUGUAAAGUUGUUGUUCAGUGUCUGCCUUUUGGGGUUUUCCUGGCACCUAAUGAAAUUAUCAGCAAUAAAUGAGCUAAGCAGAA